UACGUAGGGGCGAGCGUUGUCCGGAUUUAUUGGGCGUAAAGAGCGUGUAGGCGGCCAGGUAGGUCUGCUGUGAAACUCGAGGCUCAACCUCGAGACGUCGGCGGAAACCAUCUGGCUAGAGUCCGGAAGAGGAGAGUGGAAUUCCUGGAUGUAGCGGUGAAUGCGCAGAUAUCAGGAAGAACACCCGUGGCGAAGGCGGCUCUCUGGGACGGUACUGACGCUGAGACGCGAAAGCGUGGGGAGCGAACAGG
rnacentral:rRNA from 1 species